rnacentral:rRNA from 1 species
CCUACGGGAGGCAGCAGUGGGGAAUAUUGCACAAUGGGGGAAACCCUGAUGCAGCGACGCCGCGUGAGUGAAGAAGUAUCUCGGUAUGUAAAGCUCUAUCAGCAGGGAAGAAAAUGACGGUACCUGACUAAGAAGCCCCGGCUAACUACGUGCCAGCAGCCGCGGUAAUACGUAGGGGGCAAGCGUUAUCCGGAUUCACUGGGCGUAAAGGGAGCGUAGACGGUAUAGCAAGUCAGACGUGAAAUCCCGGGGCUUAACCCCGGAACUGCUUUGGAAACUGUGAGUCUGGAGUGCAGGAGAGGUAGGCGGAAUUCGUGGUGUAGCGGUGAAAUGCGUAGAUAUUAAGAGGAAGACCGAUGGCGAAGGCGGCUUGCUGGACUGUAACUGACGUUGAGGCUCGAAAGCGUGGGGAGCAAACAGGAUUAGAUACCCGAGUAGUC